CAGCCGCCACGGGAAUACGAAGGGGGCUAGCGUUGUUCGGAAUUACUGGGCGUAAAGCGCACGUAGGCGGACAUUUAAGUCAGGGGUGAAAUCCCGGGGCUCAACCCCGGAACUGCCUUUGAUACUGGGUGUCUAGAGUAUGGAAGAGGUGAGUGGAAUUCCGAGUGUAGAGGUGAAAUUCGUAGAUAUUCGGAGGAACACCAGUGGCGAAGGCGGCUCACUGGUCCAUUACUGACGCUGAGGUGCGAAAGCGUGGGGAGCAAACAGGAUUAGAUACCCCAGUAGUCCCUGUCUCUUAUAC
rnacentral:rRNA from 1 species